CUCCUACGGGACGCAGCAGUGGGGAAUAUUGCACAAUGGGCGAAAGCCUGAUGCAGCAACGCCGCGUGAACGAAGAAGGCUCUUGGGUCGUAAAGUUCUGUUCUGAGGGAAGAAGAAAGUGACGGUACCUCAGGAGAAAGCCCCGGCUAACUACGUGCCAGCAGCCGCGGUAAUACGUAGGGGGCAAGCGUUGUCCGGAAUUACUGGGUGUAAAGGGAGCGUAGGCGGGGAUGCAAGUUGGGUGUCAAAACUACCGGCUCAACCGAUAGUCGCACUCAAAACUGCAGCUCUUGAGUGAAGUAGAG
rnacentral:rRNA from 1 species